UCACAGUUUGCACUGGCAGUCUUGUUAGAGUUCCCGACUUGACUCGCUGGCAACUAACAACAGGGGUUGCGCUCGUUAUAGGACUUAACCUGACACCUCACGGCACGAGCUGACGACAACCAUGCAGCACCUUGUAAAUUGUCUUGCGAAAAGUCUGUUUCCAAACCGUGAGGAAGGUGGGGAUGACGUGACGGCAUUAGCCA
rnacentral:misc_RNA from 1 species